UUCCAUCAGCAACCCGGAUUCGAGCCAGAGACCUUUAGAUCUUCAGUCUAACGCUUUCACAACAUAGCUGAAUAGUAAUAGA